rnacentral:sRNA from 1 species
AAGAGAAGGGUAUAACC